rnacentral:tRNA from 1 species
AAUUAGCUCAGUUGGUCAGAGCGCGGGACUGUCAAUCCCGAGGUCGUCGGUUCAAUUCCGGCAA